rnacentral:rRNA from 1 species
AUUGAACGCUGGCGGCAGGCCUAACACAUGCACGUCGAACGAGUGGCGGACGGGUGAGUCAUGUAUGGGAAACUGCCUGCUGGAGGGGGCUAACUACUGGAAACGGUAGCUAAUACCGCAUACCAUCAGAUGUGCCCAGGUGGGAUUAGCUCGGUGGUGGGGUAACGGCUCACCAAGGCGACGAUCCCGAGCUGGUCUGAGAGGAUGACCAGCAAUACGGGAACUGAGACACGUGCCAGACUCCUACGGGAGGCAGCAGUGGGGAAUAUUGCACAAUGGGCGCAAGCCUGAUGCAGCCAUGCCGCGUGUAUGAAGAAGGCCUUCGGGUGGUAAAGUACUUUCAGCGGGGAGGCGUUACCCGCAGAAGAAGCACCGGCUAACUCCGUGCCAGCAGCCGCGGUAAUUC